rnacentral:tRNA from 1 species
GCGAGACAAGGAUUCGGACGGUAGACGCGCGAGACUUAGGAUCUCGUGGGGCCUAGCCCCGUGGGGGUUCGAGUCCCCCCUUUCGCA